rnacentral:tRNA from 1 species
CGAGUUAAAGCUUUGAAAAAGCAUUUUAGUUACAUUAAAAAGUUAGUUGUGAAAAUCAAUUUAACUUGA